CGUAGGUGACCUGCGGAAGGAUCAUUACCAAGAACCACACAGAAAAGGGAGGCAAAGGGGCCUACAGGGCUAGUAGCUUAUACGUUGUUGAACGUCCUGCCUGGACCCGGAGCCGCCCCCAUCUAAACCCUCUGCGUACCUGUCCCUUCUUGCUUCCCCCGGCAUCUCGUCGGGGGGAGGUAACAACCAAAACUCUCUGUGAAUCAAACAGCCGUCAGAAUUAUAAAACAAACAAAAGUUAAAACUUUCAACAACGGAUCUCUUGGUUCCCACAUCGAUGAAGAACGCAGCGAAAUGCGAUAAGUAAUGUGAAUUGCAGAAUUCAGUGAAUCAUCGAAUCUUUGAACGCACAUUGCGCCCCCUGGUAUUCCGGGGGGCAUGCCUGUUCGAGCGUCAUAAAAACCUCCUCCCCCUUCGGGUUUUGUUACUAUCGUUGGGGGGUUUUGGCCUAAUGGGAUAGCGAUUGGCAAUUCGUUUCCCAAUGUCCUAAAUAGACGUAGACCCGCCUCCAGAUGCGACAGCACCGAGGCCAUCAACCGUGGAGUUAUGGGAUAUAAUAGGCUUGCAGUAAAAUGCUCACCUCUCUCCACACGCCGAUGGCACGACAGUUGCAGUUGCGGGCGUAAAUUGGAGCCCUUUUCAGGACCCUUGUGGCCUAGCAUCCACCAUACAUAAUUUGACCUCGGAUCAGGUAGGGAUACCCGCUGAACUUAAGCAUAUCAAUAAGCGGAGGAAAAGAAACCAACAGGGAUUGCCUCAGUAACGGCGAGUGAAGCGGCAAAAGCUCAAUUUUAAAGCUGACAUCUUCGGUGUCCGCGUUGUAAUUUUGUGAGGCAUCUCCGGGUAGGGCGCC
rnacentral:rRNA from 1 species